AUUCCUCUUGAUCCCCUCAUAACCACCACCACCACCAACAUAUAUCUCCAUAGUAGGCACAGCGGAACCGCCGCCACUGACAAGUGACGACCACCUAGAACCACCAUGGUUUCGCCUUGGACACGUUGGAGAAAGCCUUGCAACUUGCAAGGAUCAAAAUAAUUUGCUCUUAAAAGAGCUCAAAGAAAGGCAGAAAGAGCUCACCAAACUGUCUCCCUUGGAACAUACAAUUACU